UACGGGGGGAGCAAGCGUUGUUCGGAUUUACUGGGCGUAAAGGGCGCGUAGGCGGUCAGCACAAGUCAGUUGUGAAAUCUCCGGGCUUAACCCGGAAAGGUCAACUGAUACUGUGCGACUAGAGUGCGGAAGGGGCAACUGGAAUUCUCGGUGUAGCGGUGAAAUGCGUUGAUAUCGUUAGGAACUCCGGUGGCGAAGGCGGCACGCUAGACCUUUUCUGACGCUGAGGCACGAAAGCCAGGGGAGCGAACGGG
rnacentral:rRNA from 1 species